UACGUAGGGACCAAGCGUUGUCCGGAAUCAUUGGGCGUAAAGAGCGUGUAGGCGGCUUGUUAAGUCUUGCGUGAAAUCUCGGGGCUCAACCCCGAGCGGUCGUGAGAAACUGGCAGGCUAGAGUGCGGGAGAGGAGAGUGGAAUUCCUGGUGUAGCGGUGAAAUGCGCAGAUAUCAGGAAGAACACCGGUGGCGAAGGCGGAUCUCUGGGCCUUACCUGACGCUCAGGCACGAAAGCUAGGGGAGCGAACAGG
rnacentral:rRNA from 1 species